UAUUGGACAAUGGGGGGAACCCUUAUCCAGCGACGCCGCGUGAGUGAAGAAGUAUUUCGGUAUGUAAAGCUCUAUCAGCAGGGAAGAANGAAAUGACGGUACCUGACUAAGAAGCCCCGGCUAACUACGUGCCAGUAGCCGCGGUAAUACGUAGGGGGCAAGCGUUAUCCGGAUUUACUGGGUGUAAAGGGAGCGUAGACGGCGAUGCAAGUCUGAAGUGAAAGGCGGGGGCACAACCCCCGGACUGCUUUGGAAACUGUAUGGCUGGAGUGCAGGAGAGGUAAGUGUAAUUCCUAGUGUAGCGGUGAAAUGCGUAGAUAGUAGGAGGAACACCAGCGGCGAAGGCGGCUUACUGGACUGUAACUGACGUUGAGGCUCGAAAGCGUGGGGAGCA
rnacentral:rRNA from 1 species